ACUACCGCAAUUAUCUAUAUGUUGCCGCACCUCUCGGUUGCCGAAUUUAUUGUGGAUAUUCUUUUACUGUUUAUCUUAAUGCACCGUGAAAAUUGUUUGGCCACAUCACAUAUUGAAGGAAAGAGCUUUUCUAAACGCUUUUAUGCAUAUCAGACUAUUAUGGGAAAUACUGU